GAAAUGCGAUACGCAAUGCGAAUUGCAGAAUUCCGCGAGUCAUCAGAUCUUUGAACGCAAUUGGCGCUGGUUUAACCGCCAGCAUGUUUGUUUCAGUGUGUUAGGAAUCACACAUCUCAAUGCGAUUGAGGACCUCUUAGGAGCCUUCUCUCGUUAAACAUGCAGGUGUCGAGCUUUAGCACGACCGAACGAAGUAGUCACUUCUUGAAAGUGAUCUCGUUCGUUGUUGGCGGGCUCACUUAGACACUUGUUAAAAAUUCAACACAGGAGGAAAAUUUCCUUCUUUCCCACAACACCUGAAAUCAAGCAAGAUCACCCGCUGAACUUAA
rnacentral:misc_RNA from 1 species